AUUGAACGCUGGCGGCAGGCCUAACACAUGCAAGUCGAGCGGAUGAAGGGAGCUUGCUCCUGGAUUCAGCGGCGGACGGGUGAGUAAUGCCUAGGAAUCUGCCUGGUAGUGGGGAAUAACGUCCGGAAACGGGCGCUAAUACCGCAUACGUCCUGAGGGAGAAAGUGGGGGAUCUUCGGACCUCACGCUAUCAGAUGAGCCUAGGUCGGAUUAGCUAGUUGGUGGGGUAAAGGCCUACCAAGCCGACGAUCCGUAACUGGUCUGAGAGGAUGAUCAGUCACACGGGAACUGAGACACGGUCCAGACGCCUACGGGAGGCAGCAGUAGGGAAUAUUGGACAAUGGGCGAAAGCCUGAUCCAGCCAUGCCGCGUGUGUGAAGAAGGUCUUCGGAUUGUAAAGCACGUUAAGUUGGGAGGAAGGGCAGUAAGUUAAUACCUUGCUGUUUUGACGUUACCAACAGAAUAAGCACCGGCUAACUUCGUG
rnacentral:rRNA from 1 species